GUAAGAAGUGCGUUUCACCCUCUGCCAUGAUUAUGAAACCUCCCCAGCCAUGUGGAACUGUGGGGUCUCCCUAUGUUGCCCAGGCUGAACUCCAACUCCUGGGCUCAAGCAAUGCUCCCAUCUCAGUCUCCCAAAGUGCUGAGAUUACAGUCUCGCUCUGUUGCCCAGUCUGGAGUACAGGUAUGAUCUUGGCUUACUGCAAGCUCCGCCUCCCAGGUUCAAGCAAUUCUUCUGCCUCAGUCUCCCAAGCAGCUGGGAUUAUAGGCCCGAGAAGGCAAGGGAGGGAGCAGGAACCAGAACCAGAGGAGGUUUUGCAGGACUUGCCUAUAUCCAGGCGUCAGAGUGAGCCCAGGGAAGGUUGGCCAUGAUUUGGGGUCUUCAGAGAGAGCCAGAUGGAAAUAGGAGAGGAAGCUGCUGUCACAGGGGUCACACUUGGCUCACCAGAGAAAGUCGCUUGGCAUCAGCAGCUGGUAUGAUGGAUUUACCAUGCCUGCCUUGCCCACAAUGGAGUCCCAAAAGGUGGCCAUCAUCAAAUGACUGCACCCAUAGUCUUCUGUGCUUCACCCUCUUCUGUGGGCUUCCCUGGCCUAGCAUGCUCCCUACACCGCUGGACUCUUCUCCAUCUAAGUCAUGUCAUGGAAACCCCUCCAGAGCUGCAGACAGACAGAUCUGGCUCUGAGUCUCUCUACUAUCCCUUCUUAGAUGUGGGGCAGGAAACUAGCCUCUGAGAUUCUUUUUUUUUUUUUUUAACCUGUAAAGGAGGCUCUUACACUAAUUACCUGAACAAAUUUAUUGUGAGUUUCACAUGAGAUAAUGACUAAUAUUUUCAAAGCAUAA
rnacentral:lncRNA from 1 species